GAAAGGCGCUUUCGGGUGUCGCUGAUGGAUGGACCCGCGGUGCAUUAGCUAGUUGGUGAGGUAACGGCUCACCAAGGCCACGAUGCAUAGCCGACCUGAGAGGGUGAUCGGCCACACUGGGACUGAGACACGGCCCAGACUCCUACGGGAGGCAGCAGUAGGGAAUCUUCGGCAAUGGACGAAAGUCUGACCGAGCAACGCCGCGUGAGUGAAGAAGGUUUUCGGAUCGUAAAACUCUGUUGUUAGAGAAGAACAAGGACGUUAGUAACUGAACGUCCCCUGACGGUAUCUAACCAGAAAGCCACGGCUAACUAC
rnacentral:rRNA from 1 species